rnacentral:lncRNA from 1 species
ACAGCACGGAACCGAGGCGACGCUCGUCUUCACGUCUCUGCAGCGGAACCUGCGAAAGCCACCAGAGCACUUGCGGGAGUGGUGCGAAGCAGUCUGCGUUUUGUACCGUCAGCAGUAACCGGAGGCCGUUGGGCAGUGUCCGGUAAUUUAGCAAGAAAGUGAAUAGAUUUGGUAACCAUGAGAAAAGGCAAUGCCAAGCUCGGACGUGCCGACAGACACGCUUACCAACGGAACGUAGACAAACCGGACAAGCGCCGGCCGGCAGAAUCGCAAAGCGAGCCGGGCUCUCCAAAGCUUGUAACCGAGGGGGACGACCUUAGGACCCCUGCCAUCGGCACCCCUCCCGCAGCCGCCAUCACCACCGCGGUGGAAGACCACCCCACGGAUCCGACGGGUUCCCCUGAAAGGCGCAUUGUCAUUUACGUAGAUGAGCCAGCGACAUCACUGCCACCUAUCGGCGGGACAGCUGCGCAACGGGAGCCUCAAGAGCAUCGAGAGAAGGAGCACAGGGAAUUAGUUGCACCGGAGAUUCCGUCCCCGGCGGUGCAGCAAGCGAACCAACCGAUGGCAGUCGAAGCGGCGACGAAAGGCUCGAAGUCCCAGGUGCCACUGCUACUUUUAUUGCGUUCGAUUCGCAUAAAGGA